CCUACGGGAGGCUGCAGUAGGGAAUAUUGCUCAAUGGGGGAAACCCUGAAGCAGCAACGCCGCGUGGAGGAUGAAGGUUUUCGGAUUGUAAACUCCUUUUGUUAGAGAAGAUAGUGACGGUAUCUAACGAAUAAGCACCGGCUAACUCCGUGCCAGCAGCCGCGGUAAUACGGAGGGUGCAAGCGUUACUCGGAAUAACUGGGCGUAAAGAGCGCGUAGGCGGGAUAGCAAGUCAGAUGUGAAAUCCCAUGGCUUAACCAUAGAACUGCAUUGGAAACUGUUAUUCUAGAGUGUGGGAGAGGUAGGUGGAAUUCUUGGUGUAGCGGUGAAAUCCGUAGAGAUCAAGAGGAAUACUGAUGGCGAAGGCGACUUACUAGACCAUAACUGACGCUGAUGCGCGAAAGCGUGGGGAGCAAACAGGAUUAGAUACCCGGGUAGUC
rnacentral:rRNA from 1 species